CGGCAAUAUACCUGAUGAGGUCGCCGGCGAUCGUGAAUACCCCCGAAGGAGAUCGUAAGCGAGGUGGAGGAAGAGCGAAACAGGCGGCGGAAGGAACGGACCAAGAAAGGAGAAGCUUCUCUUCCGCCAUUGGUAUUUGGCUCCCUUUUAUUAUUUAUCUGAAUAUUCUUUUUUCUUAUUUCUGUAUACCGUCUUUUUCGAGUGCUGAUUGUCAUUGAGGAGUUGGAUCCUUGAAGAGAUCAAACAAAAUAUGGACUGUCAGAUCCGAUCACUUGAAUUUUAACAGUCUAGAUUUUAGAGAACAAAUGAAGAAGUUCAUCUACCCAGUCCCAAAGUCUGGACUGAAAGUAAAGAGAGUCUGUCUCUUUGAUGGAAGCAAGGAUCAAUCAAGGUCCUUUGAUGGUGAGGAUCCGCAGGAG
rnacentral:lncRNA from 1 species